rnacentral:rRNA from 1 species
CUAAUCUGCGAUAAGCGUCGGUAAGGUGAUAUGAACCGUUAUAACCGGCGAUUUCCGAAUGGGGAAACCCAGUGUGUUUCGACACACUAUCAUUAACUGAAUCCAUAGGUUAAUGAGGCGAACCGGGGGAACUGAAACAUCUAAGUACCCCGAGGAAAAGAAAUCAACCGAGAUUCCCCCAGUAGCGGCGAGCGAACGGGGAGGAGCCCAGAGCCUGAAUCAGUGUGUGUGUUAGUGGAAGCGUCUGGAAAGGCGCGCGAUACAGGGUGACAGCCCCGUACACAAAAAUGCACAUGCUGUGAGCUCGAUGAGUAGGGCGGGACACGUGGUAUCCUGUCUGAAUAUGGGGGGACCAUCCUCCAAGGCUAAAUACUCCUGACUGACCGAUAGUGAACCAGUACCGUGAGGGAAAGGCGAAAAGAACCCCGGCGAGGGGAGUGAAAAAGAACCUGAAACCGUGUACGUACAAGCAGUGGGAGCCUCUUUUAUGGGGUGACUGCGUACCUUUUGUAUAAUGGGUCAGCGACUUAUAUUCUGUAGCAAGGUUAACCGAAUAGGGGAGCCGAAGGGAAACCGAGUCUUAACUGGGCGUUAAGUUGCAGGGUAUAGACCCGAAACCCGGUGAUCUAGCCAUGGGCAGGUUGAAGGUUGGGUAACACUAACUGGAGGACCGAACCGACUAAUGUUGAAAAAUUAGCGGAUGACUUGUGGCUGGGGGUGAAAGGCCAAUCAAACCGGGAGAUAGCUGGUUCUCCCCGAAAGCUAUUUAGGUAGCGCCUCGUGAAUUCAUCUCCGGGGGUAGAGCACUGUUUCGGCAAGGGGGUCAUCCCGACUUACCAACCCGAUGCAAACUGCGAAUACCGGAGAAUGUUAUCACGGGAGACACACGGCGGGUGCUAACGUCCGUCGUGAAGAGGGAAACAACCCAGACCGCCAGCUAAGGUCCCAAAGUCAUGGUUAAGUGGGAAACGAUGUGGGAAGGCCCAGACAGCCAGGAUGUUGGCUUAGAAGCAGCCAUCAUUUAAAGAAAGCGUAAUAGCUCACUGGUCGAGUCGGCCUGCGCGGAAGAUGUAACGGGGCUAAACCAUGCACCGAAGCUGCGGCAGCGACGCUUAUGCGUUGUUGGGUAGGGGAGCGUUCUGUAAGCCUGUGAAGGUGUACUGUGAGGUAUGCUGGAGGUAUCAGAAGUGCGAAUGCUGACAUAAGUAACGAUAAAGCGGGUGAAAAGCCCGCUCGCCGGAAGACCAAGGGUUCCUGUCCAACGUUAAUCGGGGCAGGGUGAGUCGACCCCUAAGGCGAGGCCGAAAGGCGUAGUCGAUGGGAAACAGGUUAAUAUUCCUGUACUUGGUGUUACUGCGAAGGGGGGACGGAGAAGGCUAUGUUGGCCGGGCGACGGUUGUCCCGGUUUAAGCGUGUAGGCUGGUUUUCCAGGCAAAUCCGGAAAAUCAAGGCUGAGGCGUGAUGACGAGGCACUACGGUGCUGAAGCAACAAAUGCCCUGCUUCCAGGAAAAGCCUCUAAGCAUCAGGUAACAUCAAAUCGUACCCCAAACCGACACAGGUGGUCUGGUAGAGAAUACCAAGGCGCUUGAGAGAACUCGGGUGAAGGAACUAGGCAAAAUGGUGCCGUAACUUCGGGAGAAGGCACGCUGAUAUGUAGGUGAAGUCCCUCGCGGAUGGAGCUGAAAUCAGUCGAAGAUACCAGCUGGCUGCAACUGUUUAUUAAAAACACAGCACUGUGCAAACACGAAAGUGGACGUAUACGGUGUGACGCCUGCCCGGUGCCGGAAGGUUAAUUGAUGGGGUCAGCGCAAGCGAAGCUCUUGAUCGAAGCCCCGGUAAACGGCGGCCGUAACUAUAACGGUCCUAAGGUAGCGAAAUUCCUUGUCGGGUAAGUUCCGACCUGCACGAAUGGCGUAAUGAUGGCCAGGCUGUCUCCACCCGAGACUCAGUGAAAUUGAACUCGCUGUGAAGAUGCAGUGUACCCGCGGCAAGACGGAAAGACCCCGUGAACCUUUACUAUAGCUUGACACUGAACAUUGAGCCUUGAUGUGUAGGAUAGGUGGGAGGCUUAGAAGUGUGGACGCCAGUCUGCAUGGAGCCGACCUUGAAAUACCACCCUUUAAUGUUUGAUGUUCUAACGUGGACCCGUGAUCCGGGUUGCGGACAGUGUCUGGUGGGUAGUUUGACUGGGGCGGUCUCCUCCUAAAGAGUAACGGAGGAGCACGAAGGUUGGCUAAUCCUGGUCGGACAUCAGGAGGUUAGUGCAAUGGCAUAAGCCAGCUUGACUGCGAGCGUGACGGCGCGAGCAGGUGCGAAAGCAGGUCAUAGUGAUCCGGUGGUUCUGAAUGGAAGGGCCAUCGCUCAACGGAUAAAAGGUACUCCGGGGAUAACAGGCUGAUACCGCCCAAGAGUUCAUAUCGACGGCGGUGUUUGGCACCUCGAUGUCGGCUCAUCACAUCCUGGGGCUGAAGUAGGUCCCAAGGGUAUGGCUGUUCGCCAUUUAAAGUGGUACGCGAGCUGGGUUUAGAACGUCGUGAGACAGUUCGGUCCCUAUCUGCCGUGGGCGCUGGAGAACUGAGGGGGGCUGCUCCUAGUACGAGAGGACCGGAGUGGACGCAUCACUGGUGUUCGGGUUGUCAUGCCAAUGGCACUGCCCGGUAGCUAAAUGCGGAAGAGAUAAGUGCUGAAAGCAUCUAAGCACGAAACUUGCCCCGAGAUGAGUUCUCCCUGACUCCUUGAGAGUCCUGAAGGAACGUUGAAGACGACGACGUUGAUAGGCCGGGUGUGUAAGCGCAGCGAUGCGUUGAGCUAACCGGUACUAAUGAACCGUGAGGCUUAACCUU